UAGAUUGAAGCCAGUUGACUAGGGUAUUUAGCUGUUAACUAAAAGUUCGAGGGAAGUAUACCCCUCCAAUCUAG